CUGGACAGAGAGGAGAGAGUGAGGAGGCUGCAUCUGGCUCCGGCUCUCACAGCCAUUGUAGUACAUUCAGCUCCAUAGAGACAGCGCCGGGGCAAGCGAGAGCCAGACGGGCACUGGGCGACUCUGUGCCUCGCGGAGGAAAACAUGGGCAAAGGAGAUCCUAAGAAGCCGAGAGGCAAAAUGUCCUCAUAUGCGCUCUUUGUGAAAACCUGCUGGGAGGAGCACAAGAAGAAACACCCGGAUGCUUCUGUCAACUUCUCAGGGUUCUCCAAGAAGUGCUCAGAGAGGUGGAACACCAUGUCUGCUAAAGAAAAGGGGAAAUUUGAAGGUAUGGCAAAGGCUGACAAGGCUCGUUAUGAAAGAGAAAUGAAAACCUACAUCCCCCCCAAAGGGAAGACCAAAAAGAAGUUCAAGGACCCCAAUGCACCCAAGAGGCCUCCUUCGGCAUUCUUCUUGUUCUGUUCUGAGUACCGCCCCAAAAUCAAAGGCGAGCAUCCUGGCUUAUCCAUUGGUGAUGUUGCAAAGAAACUAGGAGAGAUGUGGAACAACACUGCAGCGAAAGACAAGCAGCCCUAUGAGAAGAAGGCUGCCAAGCUGAAGGAGAAGUACAAAAAGGAUAUUGCUGCCUACCGAGCUAAAGGAAAUACUGCUGCAGCGAAAAAGGGGGUGGUCAAGGCUGAAAAGAGCAAGAAAAAGAAGGAAGAGGAGGAUGAAGAGGAUGAGGAAGAAGAGGAUGAGGAAGAUGAAGAUGAUGAUGAUGAAUAAGUUGGUCCUAGCGCAGCUUUUUCCUUGUCUAUAAAGCAUUUAACCCCCCUGAACACAACUCACUCCUUUUAAGGAAAAAAAAAAUUGAAAUGUAAGGCUGUGUAAGAUUUGUUUUUAAACUGUACAGUGUCUUUUUUUGUAUAGUUAACACACUACUGAAUGUGUUUUGAGAUAGCCCUGUCCUGGUGGUAUUUUCAAUGGCCACUCACCUUGCCUUGUACAGUCUGGGUGUUGUAAAUUGGCAUGGAAAUUUUUUUAAAGAUUUAUUUAUUUAUUAAAUAUAAGUACACUGUAGCUGUUUUCAGACACUCCAUCCUUACGGAUGGUUAUGAACCACCAUGUGGUUGCUGGGAUUUGAACUCAGGACCUUUGGAAGAAUAGUUGGUGCUCUUACCAGCUGAACCAUCUCACCAGCCCUGGAAUGGAAAUUUAAAGCAGAUUCUUGUUGGUGCACAGCACAAAUUAGUUAUAUACGGGGACAGUAGUUUGGUUUUUGUUUUGUUUUGUAUUUCUUUUUUUUUGGGGGGGGGGUUCUAUUUUUUUCAUCUUCAGUAGUCUCUGAUGAAGCUUAUACAAAGAUAAUUGUUGUUCUGUUAACUGAAUACCACUCUGUAAUUGGGGAAAAAAAGAUGCGGCUGUUAUGUUGACAUUCUGAAUGUUUCUAAGUAAAUUCAAUUUUUUU